CUUAGCCAGAAAAGCUUGCACGCUCACAUCGCACAAAGCCAUCCGGUUCAUCAAAGUAUGAAACAAGCAGAGGAGAGCUCGAGUUCAACGACGCUCUAAGGGAAAAUGAAUGUCUGGCAUCAGCACUGGAGGCUACUCAUUUUGAAGAACUUCAUAGCACAUAGAGAUUUGACAGAAAAACAACGUGGAUGGAACGGCUGGUGAUUUUCCCACAGGAAAGAUGACCCUAAUCUUCCAGAAGGACAGAAAAACAAGACCAGCCAGAGUUUUAUCCAUUACUGCAUCAGAGAUGACUGGCUUGAAUUUGGUCAAAGGAUUAUGGGCUCAGUGCACCAGAAGCACUGAACUGGGGCAGCAGAGGAAGGAAAGGAAAAGCAGUGGCUGCUGUCUAAGGGUUCUUUUAUGCUCCCGGAUGAGUUUCUCAGCUGGAUCAUUGUAAAGCGCAGAAAUUAUGGGAUUGCUUACCUGUACUCUAGGAGAUUAACUCACGUGUCCUGCCACCAC
rnacentral:lncRNA from 1 species